rnacentral:miRNA from 1 species
CAUAUAAGUUAUAUCAUGCGAU